UUGAACGCUGGCGGCAUGCCUUACACAUGCAAGUCGAACGGUAGAGGGGCAACCCUUGAGAGUGGCGAACGGGUGAGUAAUGCAUCGGAACGUGCCUAGUCGUGGGGGAUAACGCAGCGAAAGCUGUGCUAAUACCGCAUGUGAUCUGUGGAUGAAAGCAGGGGACCGCAAGGCCUUGUGCGAUUGGAGCGGCCGAUGUCAGAUUAGCUAGUUGGUAGGGUAAAAGCCUACCAAGGCGACGAUCUGUAGCUG
rnacentral:rRNA from 1 species